rnacentral:rRNA from 1 species
AGAGUUUGAUCCUGGCUCAGAGCGAACGCUGGCGGCAUGCUUAACACAUGCAAGUCGCACGGUCAGCAAUGGCAGUGGCGGACGGGUGAGUAACGCGUAGGAAUCUAUCUCUGGGUGGGGGACAACCGUGGGAAACUACGGCUAAUACCGCAUGAUACCUGAGGGUCAAAGGCGUAAGUCGCCUGGAGAGGAGCCUGCGUCUGAUUAGCUAGUUGGUGGGGUAAAGGCUUACCAAGGCGACGAUCAGUAGCUGGUCUGAGAGGAUGAUCAGCCACAUUGGGACUGAGACACGGCCCAAACUCCUACGGGAGGCAGCAGUGGGGAAUAUUGGACAAUGGGCGCAAGCCUGAUCCAGCAAUGCCGCGUGUGUGAAGAAGGUCUUCGGAUUGUAAAGCACUUUUGGCAGG